GCGGGCUCAGCUUCAGCUUCUCAGCUUCAGUGAAACAUCGUCAGGUCAGAUCACUGAGAAGAACAAUGGAAGGCACAUCUCACUGUCUGAUCUUUCUGAUCUUCUUGCUGAGCUGCUCAACAGAUCCAGUCCUCCCAGUUCGUCUGACUGUGAAUCCCAGCAGAUCUCAGUUCUUUGAA